rnacentral:rRNA from 1 species
AGCUCCAAUAGCGUAUACUAAAGUUGUUGCAGUUAAAAAGCUCGUAGUUGAAUUUGUAAGGGUUGUUGUUGAUAAGAAAUGAAAUGUUUUUUAUUGAAUGAUAGCUUUUAUUUGUUAUUUGGUGAUAUCCGUUAUUAAUUUAAUAGAUGUUGUUAGAGUAACGUUUUACUGUGAGUAAAAUAGAGUGUUCAAAGCAGGCUUAUGCCGUUGAAUACGUUAGCAUGGAAUAAUAAGAUAAGACCUUGUUGUUUAUUUUGUUGGUUAUGUGAUGAGUGUAAUGAUUAAUAGGGAUAGUUGGGGGUAUUCGUAUUCCAUUGUCAGAGGUGAAAUUCUUGGAUUUCUGGAAGACGAACUAGUGCGAAAGCAUUUACCAAGGAUGUUUUCA